rnacentral:rRNA from 1 species
ACUCAAAUGAAUUGACGGGGACCCACACAAGCAGUGGAUCAUGUGGUUUAAUUCGACUAUAAACGGGGAAUCUUACCUAGGCUUGACAUGUAGAGAAGAAGCGAGAAAUCGCCUUGUGCCCGCAAGGGAACUCUAACACAGGUGCUGCAUGGUUGUCGUCAGCUCGUGCCUUGAGGUGUUCGGUUAAGUCCGUUAACGAGCGCAACCCAUGUCGUUAGUUACUAUGUCUAACGAGACUGCCCGAGUUAAUCGGGAGGAAGGUGUGGAUGACGUCAAAUCAGCAUGGCCCUUAUGCCUAGGGCCACACACAUGAUACAAUGGUCGGUACAAAGAGUAGCAAUAUGGUAACAUGGAGCUAAUCUCAAAAGCCGAUCUCAGUCCGGAUUGAGGUCUGAAACUCGACCUCAUGAAGUUGGAAUUGCUAGUAAUCGUGAAUCAGAUAUGUCACGGUGAAUAUGUUCCUGGGUCUUGCACACACCGCCCGU